AGAUGCUGGAAUAGCACUGGCCUUGGAGUCAGAAGGUUUGUGAUUUGGUAGCAGCUCUGCCAUCCAAUAUCUGUGUGAUUUUUUUAGGGUGUCAGUUUCCCCUUAAGCAUCA
rnacentral:miRNA from 1 species